rnacentral:rRNA from 1 species
AGUCGAACGGCAGCACUGACUUCGGUCUCGGUGGCGAGUGGCGAACGGGUGAUAAUGUAUUUCGGAACGUGCCUAGAUGGGGAUAACUACGCGAAAGCGUAGCUAAUACCGCAUACCGCCCUUCGGGGAAAGCGGGGGACCUUCGGGCCCGCACCAUUAGAGCGGCCGAUAUCGGAUUAGCUGAGCUGGUGGGGCAAAUGGCUCACCAAGGCGACGAUCCGUGCUGGUUUGAGAGGACGACCAGCCACACUGGGACUGGUGAUAGUCGCCCGACUCCAGGCUGGGAGGCGCUGUGGUAUUCGACAGAACCUGAUCCAGCCAUCCCGCGUGUGCGAUGAAGGCCUUUCGGGUUGUAAAGCACUUUGGCAGGAAAGAAACGGCACGACAUCACCCCGCAACUGACGGUAUUCUGCAGAGUAAGCACCGGCUAACUACGCCAGCAGCCGGCAUUGAAAAAGAAUCGGAAUUACUGGGCGUAAAGCGUGCGCAGGCGGUUCGGAAAGAAAGAUGUGAAAUCCUACAGAGCUUAACUUUUGGAACUGGCAUUUUUAACAAUGAGCUAGAGGUGGUCAGAGGGAGUAACCAGGUAGCAGUGAAAUGCGUAGAUAUGCGGAGGAACACCGAUGGCGAACGCAGCCCGUGAGGUCAAUUGACGCUCAUGCACGAAAGCGUGGGAGCAAACAGGAUUAGAUACCCUGGUAGUCCACGCCCUAAACGAUGUCAACUAGCUGUUAGCCUCGGGCCUUUGUAGCGCAGCCAAUCGCGGUGAAGUUGGAUCGCCUGGGGAGUACGGUCGCAAGAUUAAAACUCAAAGGAAUUGACGGGGACUCGCAAUGGCAGGAUGAGGAUAACUUCGGAUGCACAAUGCGAAAAAUCUGUCUGGCUCUUUUCAAUAGCACCAACCCUGAAGAGAUUUAGUACGUCUGCAGAGAAACGGAAACAGAGGUGCUGCAUGGCUGUCGCUGUCGUACGAGGAUGGUCAAUUGAGUCCCGCAAUGAGCGCAGCCUUUAACGUUGAAUGCGCGAAAGGCACUUACUGCUGCCGGUACAACAGCCGAGGAAGGUGGAGACAACGUCCGCCAUGCCUUAUGGUGGCUCGCGCCGUCAUACACAAUGGUCGGGACAGAGGGUCGCCAACCCGCGAGGGGGAGCCAAUUCCAGAAACCCGAUCGUAGUCCGAUCGUAGUCUGCAAACCUGACUGCGAAGUCGGAAUCGCUAAAGUAAUCGCGGAUCAGCAUGUCGCGGUAUGAAUACGUUCCCGGGUCUUGUGCCACACCGCCCGUCACACCAUGGGAGUGGGUUUUACCAGAAGUAAAGCAGCCCAACCCGUAAGGAGGGCGAUUACCACGGUAGGAUUCAUGACUGGGGUAGUCGUAACAAGGUAGCUCAGCAUACCUGAUGCUCCA